GUUGGACACUUAACCAACUGAACCACCCAGGCAGCCCUAAAUCACAGGGUUUUAAUUUUGAUGUCAAUUUAUCAAAUUUUCCUUCUACUGUUUUGGCUUUUAUUGUCAUACCUAAGAAACUAUAGCCUAUUCAAGUGUCAUGAAGAUUUUUGCCUGUGUUUCUUCUAAGAGUUUAACAGUUUUAGCUCUUAUGUUUAGGUCUAUGAUCCAUUUGGAGUAUAUGAUGUGAGGUAGGGGUCCAAAUUCAUUCUUUUGUGUGUGGAUAUCCAGUUGUCAAAACACCAUCUGUUGAAAUAACUAUUGUUUUCCAUUGAAUGUUCUUGACACUGUUCUCAAUAACAAAUAUCUCUAGAUAUAUGGGCUUAUUUUUGGACUCUCACUUCUACUGGAUUGAUCUGUGGGUGUAUCCUUAUGCCAGUACCACACUGUUUUGACUGCUGACAAAGGCAGCAAUUUCAGACUAUAAAAUAGAAAACUGAGGAGCUUGACAAAGACACUGGGAAAAGUUUCCUGGUAAUAGCCAAGAUGUGAAUGGUCUUCAAGGUGCACAAAAGACAACUGUUGAAAAGAAGUGGGGUGAUUAGCAUCUCCAUAGACAAACAUAGUCACAUUAUCUUGGAAGAAUUUUAGGUAAGACAUCCAAAAUAUUAGGCAACAGUGAAAUAUAGGCAAGAACAGAAUGAAACAAAGAAUGAGAGUGGCUAAAGGGCAGGGCUUGGAGGAAACACCCUCUGCCUGCCAUGUGUGCAGAUGAUGAGAAAGAAUGGUGGGUCAGUUCAGGAAAGCUCUUGAAAGGGUUGUUGAGAAAAUUCCCACUCUCUCCAACCAGACCUUCUUGGUUUACCCAGCACCCCCACCCCCAGGGAGGAGCCAGGAGUGAUUCUUUGUGAUGUCUAAGCUCACACCCACCCACCCAGCAUAUCCCCUACUGGCUGGGGCAAGUGCCUAACUGAACAAACAAAGCCAAAGGGUGUGGCUCCUCAUUGUACCACUAAGGGGUAUUUUACAGUCUGGUCAGGAGCUCUGGAGAAGACCAUUGGGAGGUUUCAACACGGCUAAAGUUACCAGGAAGCCAGAGGGAGUGAGCACAGUUAUGAAACAACCAACACUAAGCACAAGACAAUUAACCCCAAACACAAAAAAGAAGAAGAGAAAGAACCACUAUCAACCCAGAUCCACAGGGACUGGCAAGGUAAACAAGAUACAGAGGGGAAUAAAAAGACUGCUUUGUGGAAAGUCAAGAAAAAAAUCCUCUCAUAUUAGUACAACAAUUCCAAGGAAGGUGAAGAGAGUGAAAAAAGCCAAGAAGUUUCGGCCUUUUACAAAAAUUGAGUAGUAGCCUACACUCAGAUCACUGAGUUCAGGCCCAGAAGACCCUGCCAAAUGACAAUCCUACAAGGUCUAACACCAUAUGGAACAGAGAUGAUGAUGAUUAAAAUAAAAUCGACAACCUUU